rnacentral:rRNA from 1 species
CUAAGAAUAUUCCGCAAUGGACGGAAGUCUGACGGAGCGACGCCGCGUGGAUGAAGAAGGCCGAAAGGUUGUAAAGUUCUUUUGCUGGGGAAGAAUAACCGCAGGAGGGAAUGCCUGUGGGAUGACAAGAACCGGCGAAUAAGCCCCGGCCAACUACGUGCCAGCAGCCGCGGUAACACGUAGGGGGCGAGCGUUGUUCGGAAUUACUGGGCGUAAAGGGCAUGUAGGCGGCUUGGAAAGCCUGGCGUGAAAGUCUGCAGCUUAACUGCAGGGGUGCGCUGGGAACUGCUGAGCUUGAGUGACGGAGAGGGAGCUGGAAUUCCUGGUGUAGGGGUGAAAUCUGUAGAUAUCAGGAAGAACACCGAUGGCGAAGGCAAGCUCCUGGCCGAUGACUGACGCUGAGGUGCGAAAGUGUGGGGAUCAAACAGGAUUAGAUACCCUGGUAGUCCACACAGUCAACGAUGUGCACUAGGUGCUGGGGCGGUAGCUUCGGUGCCGGAGCGAACGUGGUAAGUGCACCGCCUGGGGGAGUAUGCUCGCAAGGGUGAAACUCAAAUGAAUUGACGGGGGUCAUA